AGAGUUUGAUCAUGGCUCAGAAUCAACGCUGGCGGCGUGCCUAACACAUGCAAGUCGAACGCGAAAGUCCCGCAAGGGAUAAGUAGAGUGGCAAACGGGUGAGUAACACGUGGGUGACCUGCCUUCGAGCGGGGGAUAACGUCCCGAAAGGGACGCUAAUACCGCAUGACAUCCUGCCUUUGAAGAGGUGGAGAUCAAAGCUGGGGAUCGCAAGACCUAGCACUCGAAGAGGGGCCCGCGCCUGAUUAGCUAGUUGGUGGGGUAACGGCUCACCAAGGCAACGAUCAGUAGCCGGCCUGAGAGGGCGGACGGCCACACUGGGACUGAGACACGGCCCAGACUCCUACGGGAGGCAACAGUUAGGAAUCUUCCACAAUGGGCGAAAGCCUGAUGGAGCGACGCCGCGUGAAGGAUGAAGGUCUUCGGAUCGUAAACUUCUAAAAGAGGGACGAUAAUGACGGUACCUCUUGAAAAGCACCGGCUAACUCCGUGCCAGCCGCCGCGGUAAUAC
rnacentral:rRNA from 1 species